rnacentral:rRNA from 1 species
UACGUAGGUGGCAAGCGUUGUCCGGAUUUACUGGGCGUAAAGAGCGCGCAGGCGGUCGUUCAAGUCGCGUGUGAAAGCCCCCGGCUCAACUGGGGAGGGUCACGCGAUACUGAUCGACUGGAAGGCAGGAGAGGGUAGUGGAAUUCCCGGUGUAGUGGUGAAAUGCGUAGAUAUCGGGAGGAACACCAGUGGCGAAGGCGGAUCUCUGGGCCUGUUCUGACGCUGAGGCGCGAAAGCUAGGGGAGCGAACAGG